GAAAGCCGUGUACGGGAAAACCGUAUGCACGGUUUGAUGAGGGAGCAUUGAGGAAAGAUGAGUGAUCCCAAGACACGUAGUAGCCGCGUGCGGCGAGGCGUCCUCGAAAAGACUGGAAACAACUCUCGAAUCAGUGCUCUACUCUAC
rnacentral:ncRNA from 1 species